rnacentral:lncRNA from 1 species
GCAAGUUUGAAGGAGGUAGGACAGGUCAGAAAGCUGGAAAAUCAGGCCAAUUUUCUACGUUACAGUCUUGUGGCAGAAUUCCUUCUUCUUCAGGAAAUCUCAGCUUUUGCUUUCAAGCCCUUCAACUGACUGGAGGAGGCCCACCCACGUUAUCAAGGGGGAUGAUGAAAACAAAUUGAUGGAAGUUGCAGGGGCCAUGAAAGUUGAAAAAGAGGCUUUCUCUAAGUUUUUCAGGGUCCUUCCCAAAGCACUGGUAUCACAAAUGGGAUCAGCAUAUGGCUCCCAGGCUGUCUACUUUGAAGGAAGUUGACUAUACAAUUUCUUCUGUGUUUCUUCUACGUUUAUUUUAACAAAUCAACUUACGAUUACAUUUUGUGUGGUAGAACCCGAGGCCUGGCAAUCUUUCAGAUGCAGAAUGCCAAAAGAUGAAUCUGGAGGCUACCAGAAGGCUGAAGAGGUUGGCUAGAAUAAAGCCUCUGCUGGAAGGUGCUGAAAGGAAUUCUUGUCUGGAGACCCUAACAAGAGAAGGAAGAGAUCUUCGCUAAAAUCUGAGGCUCCCAAGGAAUGACAUUAGAGUGCCUCCAUGACAGGGCUGUGGGGACACGAUGUUUGCAGAGCUUUGUUUGAUUUGGAAUUUUAAAGCUCAGUAAGGAAUUAAGGAUUUUGCAGGAAAGAGAGAAGUCAGCUUUCAAAAAGCUAAGCUAAUACGGGGAAAACAAGAAGCAUCUGAAGAUCUUCUCUUCUCUGAAUUCUUUCCUGCUGGAGGUUCCCUCAAGCAAAUAGGUGCGAUGAUGCUGUUGACUUGUAAACAGAAGUCAAAAGGAAAUUCAAGCUUCUGUUAUGAUUUAUUCCAAA